UCCCUGGUGGCCCAGUGGCUAAGACUCUGCACUCCCAAUGCAGGGGGGUGGCUGGGUUCAAUCCCUGGUCAGGGAA
rnacentral:tRNA from 1 species